UACGGGGGGGGCAAGCGUUGUUCGGAAUUACUGGGCGUAAAGGGCUCGUAGGUGGCCAACUAAGUCAUACGUGAAAUCCCCAGGCUUAACCUGGGAACUGCGUCUGAUACUGGAUGGCUUGAAUUCGGGAGAGGGAUGCAGAAUUCCAGGUGUAGCGGUGAAAUGCGUAGAUAUCUGGAGGAAUACCGGUGGCGAAGGCGGCAUCCUGGACCGAGAUUGACGCUGAUGAGCGAAAGCUAGGGGAGCAAACGGG
rnacentral:rRNA from 1 species